rnacentral:misc_RNA from 1 species
AUGAAGAACGUAGUGAAAUGCGAUAACUAGUGUGAAUUGCAGAAUUCCGUGAAUCAUCGAGUCUUUGAACGCACAUUGCGCCCCCUGGUAUUCCGGGGGGCAUGCCUGUCCGAGCGUCAUUGCUGCCCAUCAAGCACGGCUUGUGUGUUGGGUCGUCGUCCCCUCUCCGGGGGGGACGGGCCCCAAAGGCAGCGGCGGCACCGCGUCCGAUCCUCGAGCGUAUGGGGCUUUGUCACCCGCUCUGUAGGCCCGGCCGGCGCUUGCCGAACGCAAAUCAAUCUUUUUCCAGGUUGACCUCGGAUCAGGUAGGGAUACCCGCUGAACUUAAGCAUAUCAAUAAGCGGAGGA